GGAAUAUUGGUCAAUGGGCGCGAGCCUGAACCAGCCAAGUAGCGUGAAGGAUGAAGGUCCUAUGGAUUGUAAACUUCUUUUAUAGCAGAAUAAAGUGACCCACGUGUGGGUUUUUGUAUGUAUGCUAUGAAUAAGGAUCGGCUAACUCCGUGCCAGCAGCCGCGGUAAUACGGAGGAUCCGAGCGUUCUCCGGAUUUAUUGGGUUUAAAGGGUGCGUAGGCGGAAAGAUAAGUCAGCCUGUGAAAGUUUGCGGCUCAACCGUAAAAUUGCAGUUGAUACUGUUUUUCUUGAGUGUACAUAAGGGUGGCGGAAUUCGUGGUGUAGCGGUGAAAUGCUUAGAUAUCACGAAGAACUCCGAUUGCGAAGGCAGCUUACCGGGGUACAACUGACGCUGAUGCACGAAAGUGUGGGUAUCAAACA
rnacentral:rRNA from 1 species